CCUACGGGAGGCAGCAGUGAGGAAUAUUGGUCAAUGGGCGAGAGCCUGAACCAGCCAAGUCGCGUGAGGGAGUACUGCCCUAUGGGUUGUAAACCUCUUUUGUCGGGGAGCAAAAGCCGGACGUUUCCGGCUGUGAGAGUACCCGAAGAAAAAGCAUCGGCUAACUCCGUGCCAGCAGCCGCGGUAAUAGGGAGGAUGCGAGCGUUAUCCGGUUUUAUUGGGUUUAAAGGGGGCGCAGGCGGAUUUUUAAGUCGGCGGUAAAAUCGUGGGGUUCAACCCCAUCCAGCGGUGGAAACUGGGGAUCUAGAGUGUGCGGGAGGUAUGCGGAAUGCGUGGUGUAGCGGUGAAAUGCAUAGAUAUCACGAAGAACCCCGAUUGCGAAGGCAGCAUACCGGUGCACAACUGACGCUGAGGCACGAAAGCGUGGGUAUCGAACAGGAUUAGAUACCCGUGUAGUC
rnacentral:rRNA from 1 species